rnacentral:rRNA from 1 species
GGUUAAGUUAGAAAGGGCGCACGGUGGAUGCCUUGGCACUAGGAGCCGAAGAAGGACGGGACUAACACCGAUAUGCUUUGGGGAGCUGUACGUAAGCGUUGAUCCAGAGAUUUCCGAAUGGGGGAACCCACUAUCUUUAGUCGGAUAGUAUCCUUACGUGAAUACAUAGCGUGAGGAAGGCAGACCCAGGGAACUGAAACAUCUAAGUACCUGGAGGAAGAGAAAGAAAAAUCGAUUUCCUGAGUAGCGGCGAGCGAAACGGAAAGAGCCCAAACCAAGAAGCUUGCUUCUUGGGGUUGUAGGACACUCUAUACGGAGUUACAAAAGAAAGUUAUAAAUGAAGCGGUCUGGAAAGGCCCGCCAAAGACGGUAACAGCCCGGUAGUUGAAAUGGCUUUCCCUCCAGAGUGGAUCCUGAGUACGGCGGAACACGUGAAAUUCCGUCGGAAUCCGGGAGGACCAUCUCCCAAGGCUAAAUACUCCCUAGUGACCGAUAGUGAACCAGUACCGUGAGGGAAAGGUGAAAAGCACCCCGGAAGGGGAGUGAAACAGUUCCUGAAACCGUGUGCCUACAAGUAGUUAGAGCCCGUUAAUGGGUGAUAGCGUGCCUUUUGUAGAAUGAACCGGCGAGUUACGAUUUGUUGCAAGGUUAAGCGGAAAAAGCGGAGCCGUAGCGAAAGCGAGUCUGAAUAGGGCGCAUAAGUAACAGGUCGUAGACCCGAAACCAGGUGAUCUACCCAUGUCCAGGAUGAAGGUAAGGUAAUACUUACUGGAGGUCCGAACCCACGCACGUUGAAAAGUGCGGGGAUGAGGUGUGGGUAGCGGAGAAAUUCCAAUCGAACUUGGAGAUAGCUGGUUCUCUCCGAAAUAGCUUUAGGGCUAGCCUCGAGGUAAAGAGUCAUGGAGGUAGAGCACUGUUUGGACUAGGGGCCCUUCUCGGGUUACCGAAUUCAGAUAAACUCCGAAUGCCAUGUACUUAUACUCGGGAGUCAGACUGCGAGUGAUAAGAUCCGUAGUCGAAAGGGAAACAGCCCAGACCACCAGUUAAGGUCCCCAAAUAUAUGUUAAGUGGAAAAGGA